CAGAGGCAGGGUAGGCAGAUCUCUUAGUUGUGAGGGCAGCCUGAUCUGCAUAGUGAGUUUUAAGACAGUGCU